rnacentral:ncRNA from 1 species
CGGAUUGUGGCAAAAAGAUGAGUCCUCCUAGAAUCUUAAUGAUUCCGCGUCGUACUCCCUAUUUUGCCUUUAUCCG